rnacentral:rRNA from 1 species
UUUUUCCUACGGGGGGCAGCAGUCGGGAAUAUUGCGCAAUGGAGGAAACUCUGACGCAGUGACGCCGCGUGCAGGAAGAAGGUUUUCGGAUUGUAAACUGCUUUAGACAGGGAAGAAACAAGACAGUACCUGUAGAAUAAGCUCCGGCUAACUACGUGCCAGCAGCCGCGGUAAUACGUAGGGAGCAAGCGUUAUCCGGAUUUAUUGGGUGUAAAGGGAGCGUAGACGGGAAGGCAAGUUGGUUGUGAAAUCCCUCGGCUUAACUGAGGAACUGCAACCAAAACUAUCUUUCUUGAGUGCUGGAG